rnacentral:rRNA from 1 species
CCCUCUGGACUGAGAUACCCUCGGGAAACUGAGGCAAUCUCGGAUACUGCUUCCGUGUUGGAACACAGGAAGCUGGAAACGGUCCGCCGCCGGAGGACGUGACUGCGGCUGAUUAGGUAGACGGUGGGGUAACGGCCCACCGUGCCGAUAAUCAGUACGGGUUGUGAGAGCAAGAGCCCGGAGACGGAAUCUGAGACAAGAUUCCGGGCCCUACGGGGCGCAGCAGCCGCGAAACCUUUACACUGCACGCCAGUGCGAUAAGGGGAUCCCGAGUGCGAGGGCAUACAGUCCUCGCUUUUCGCGACCGUAAGGUGGUCGCAGAAUAAGGGCUGGGCAAGACCGGUGCCAGCCGCCGCGGUAAUACCGGCAGCCCGAGUGAUAGCCAAUUUUAUUGGGCCUAAAGCGUCCGUAGCUGGCCGAACAGGUCCGUCGGGAAAUCCACCCGCUUAACGGGUGGGCGUCCGGCGGAAACCAGUCGGCUUGGGGCCGAGAGACCAAAGGGGUACGUCCGGGGUAGGAGUGAAAUCCCGUAAUCCUGGACGGACCACCGGUUGCGAAAGCGCCUUUGGAGAACGGACCCGACAGUGAGGGACGAAACCUAGGGUCUCGAACCGGAUUAGAUACCCGGGUAGUCCUAGCCGUAAACGAUGCUCGCUAGGUGUGACGCAGGCUACGAGCCUGCGUUGCGCCGUAGGGAAGCCGAGAAGCGAGCCGCCUGGGAAGUACGUCCGCAAGGAUGAAACUUAAAGGAAUUGGCGGGGGAGCACUACAACCGGAGGAGCCUGCGGUUUAAUUGGACUCAACGCCGGACAUCUCACCGGCACCGACAACGUGCAGUGACGGUCAGUUUGAUGAGCUUACCUGAGCCGUUGAGAGGAGGUGCAUGGCCGCCGUCAGCUCGUACCGUGAGGCGUCCUGUUAAGUCAGGCAACGAGCGAGACCCGCGUCCAUAAUUGCCAGCAGCACCCUUGUGGUGGCUGGGUACAUUAUGGAGACUGCCGUCGCUAAGACGGAGGAAGGAACGGGCAACGGUAGGUCAGUAUGCCCCGAAUGUGCCGGGCGACACGCGGGCUACAAUGGCCAGGACAGUGGGACGCUACCCCGAGAGGGGACGCUAAUCUCCUAACCCUGGUCGUAGUUCGGAUUGCG